rnacentral:lncRNA from 1 species
GGCUCUGCUAAACUCCUCGCUGCAUUUAAAAGGUAUUUCAAAGCCUGUGGCUCAGAGAUGAACCGAGGAGAGAGAGUGAAGCAACUGUUGUGCGACAUGUCUGCAGUACAGUGUUGAGCACUGAGCAAGGGCCUCAGAGACCAGGAGGAGAGAGAGAGUUGACCUCUGCUCAUUCCCUGUGGGAGCAAGAGGAGGAGAAGGAAGGGGAAGAGUGGGAGGAGGAGGAAGAGAGAGCAAGCUGAAGCACUGAGGAACCAGGUGGACCUGGGCUCUGAGGUCCUUGGGGAUGUGAGGACACAGAUGACCAGAAGGCCUCUCAGAGAUAGGACUGUGACGGAACCACCCAGGACCCACCCCAGGAGGGUAAGUUCUGCUAUGCAGGGCUUUUGGUUUACUGAGGAGGUCCUAGUGGAGAGAGGGUGGACAGAGGAAGCCCUCAGGUGAGAGCGGACACUCCAAGCCACUAACUGUGCUCCACCACCAUCCCCCAGUGGGACCAGUCUCGCCUCCUCAUUCCUCCAGCUCAGUCUGAACAGUGUCAGAUGUUAGCUGUUCUGGGCCACCCGUGUGUCUUGCUCUGGCUUUGCAGCUCCACAAAGCACACUGGAAGCCUCAGUCAAUGGUAACUUCAAUACAAGGAGGGAGGGAAGGAGGUGGGCAAGGAAGAUGAGAGAACCCCUCCCCCAGCUCCACCCCCUGCAAGGGGUCAUUUUAGCACAGAACUUAGAGCUCCCUUUUGGACAAGGCUUCAUUACAGUAAGUUCCUGUCCUUGGCCACAUUCUGGCAUGUUCUGUGCCUCCUGCCCCCUGGCCUGGACCCCCAGCUUGUCGUGGAAAGCCCCUACUUGGAGGCUGUCACAUCAGAAGCCACAAAGGAAGGAAGUCUGUCAGGCCCAUCAGCACAUGGUCGACUGAAGUCUUGCUUUUUUAAAAUUUUCUUUCUAGUGCUCAUUUCAAAAUUCUCCCUCUCUCCUUUAGAGAGCAGCUUCUUUUUUUAACCCUCAGGCUAACGUGGAAAGAAUUUGUUUAGUUUGCAGUGGUACAGCGGGGCAAGCCGUCGGUGGGGUGAUUCAUACACCCGGGGCUGCUGACUUGCACGGGGCGGGACGAGGAAUGCCAGCUGGGGGAACUCGUUCGAAGUUCUAAUUGUGAUGAAAGAAGUUGCAGGCUGAUACAUCAGAAAAUAAAUGCUCAAGAGUAGCCUUUCAUUUCGUAGUUUGCUUUUCUGUAAGAAUGCUUUUUAUGUUUGUUGACAGCGGGAGGGGAUGGAAAAACUGGAAUGCACAUGCAGGUACGAGAUGAAUUAUAGGUCAGGUACGGCCCCUAACCCCCUCAGGGAUACCUGAGGGAGUCCUGACCCUGCAAAAAGGCAAAGGCCCAGGUAAGGUAUUAAAUGAAUGACUCAUGCAAUACCAGAAGCUUCUAAGCUUUAGAUUAUCUUUCACGGUUCAGGAACAUCUUAAUAAGGAAAACUGAGCUUUAAGAAAUUCCGUGAAAUCUUGGCUCUCUGUUCUCUCUGUCUCUAAGCUCAGUGUUCAACAGAUCUUUGUGCUUCUAAAAGGAGGCAGGUUGAUGCAAUGGAAAAAGAUCUGAUGUGGUAAAAAUCAGAGUCCUAGCACUUCUUCAGCCACUAACUAUGUUACCUUAGAUGGCCAGCUUGGCCAGGCUGUCUUAGGUUUUUGGUGAGGAUUGAAAGGUAUGGAAAGGUCUUUGCCUAGUGCCUGGUCCACAGAACAUGCCUGACAAGAACAUAUGGCUGGAGCUUUAUCACUGCAGUGUAGACCCCCGCCAACACGUCAAUGAGAUCCGCUCGGAUGCUUAGACUUGCCCUUCUUCAUGUCCUUGAUUCUUAGAGCUCUCCAAUAGAUCUCCUGUGAGUUGCUUUCUGAGUAGAGUUAACCACGUGGAAUUUCCCUUGCUUGCAACCCUGCCCAAGACAGUCAGUGGUUGUAUUUCUUUCCUGCGGCUGCUGUCACAAAUUACCACUAAUUUAGUGUCUUAAAACAACAGCAAUUUACUCCUUCUUGGUUCUGGAGGCCAGAAGUCCAAAAUCAGUUUCACUGGGGGCAAAUCAAGGUGUGGCCAGGGCCACGCUCCCUCCUGAAGCUCGAGAGGAGAAUCUGUGCCUUCACUCCUUCAGCUUCUGGUGGCUGCCAGUGUCACUUGGCUUGUGACCACGUAGCUCCAAUCUCUGUCUCUGUGGUCACAUGGCCUUCUUCUCAGCUAGUGCUGAGCUAACAUCUGCUGCCAAUCAUCUUCUUUCUGCUGAGGAAGACUGGCCCUGAGCUAACAUCUGUGCCCAUCUCCCUCUACUUUAUAUAUGGGAUGCCUACCACAGCAUGGCUUGCCAAGUGGUGCCAUGCCCACACCUGGGAUCCGAACUGGCGAAGCCUGGGCCACCAAAGCAGAACAUGCAAACUUAAUUGCUGCACCACCAGGCUGGCCCCCACCUUUGGUGUUUUUUUGAUGGUGAACCUUAAAGUGCUCAUUGUAUCAAUUUAUCGGGACCUGCCUAUACCAAUGACUACUAUUUGUAGACAGGAAACAAACAACAACCAGAGAUUGCCAGGAUCCUGGAGUUAUUGGCAUCCACUUGCCUUUCCCUCGCCUUUUGCUGUUUUGGGGUUCCUGCCUCAUGAGAGCUAUAGCUGGAGGUCCAAGAAAGCAACUUGCACGCUUUGGGUGGGAAAAGCUUUUGGCCUUCACAAGGGGAAACGCCCCAGCGAACGUGUGGUUUUCCUCCAUAGCUAAGUUGAGCACAACAUGUUAAGAAAUAUUGCCCAAAACCUUUCCUAUCAGAAGCAUUUAAGUUAUUCUUAAACAGUUUUGACAACAGCAUAUUUUACCUCGAAGCCAUAACCAUGCAUUAUUUAGAUAACAGAUUUCUGCUGAAUUCCAUCCCCUUUCUUGUCCUAAAUGUUGUAAUGUAUUGGGUAUUUAAGAACACACGCAAGAACGUUAGCCACAGGACUAUGUGUCCAACCUACUCUGUAAAAUGCUCCUAUUAUCAAAAUGUAUGCUUCUGAGUUACAAAAUAGUUUUUCCCUUUUAGAUGGUAUGCAGAUUGCCAGGGAAUAAUGCCUUUUAUUGUUAACCUUUGUUAAGUAAUAGUAGCAUUUGUUUCCGUUAAAACAUGACUAUUUCUGUGUAACAUUUAUUGCAUAAAAAUAGAACAACGUUGACAAUUUGCAGCCCCUCUUCUUGCCAGCUCUUCCCCUAGAUGUCUGGAAGACAAACGUACUUUUUCAGUGGAAUCUAGAAUUUGUUUUUCAAAGAAUAAAAC